GGUACCGUAUCUACCAGUAGAGAGUUUAGUAACUGUACGCCGUUUCCUCUCCUAAAUCGCUUCUCUUCCGGUGCAAUUUAUUCGAUCCCCAGCCAUUGUGAACCGUCGCUUGAUUGCGCGGUAGCGCCGCCGCCGCCCUCUCCUACCCGGCGAGCUCCCCGCGGACGGGACGAGCUGCGCGGCGGCCGCACGGGAGAUCGGCGCGCCGCUGCUCGAGCUCAGAGCACCCGCCACCUGUUCGACGGAAAGCGCGCCCGCGCGAGAUGGCUGCUAGUGCUGCUGAAACCGGGGAUGAUCCGGACUCGGGGAUUGGGAUAUUCCUAGGCACUCCUGCGGCGGAUACCAAUGAUUCUGGCAAUACAGCCACGAUUUUGGCAAACCAGGGACGACAAUUUUGGCAGAGCAGCGACGGCGAGGACCCCUUCCGCCGCCUCCCCGACGAGCUCCUCCGCCACGUGCUGUCCUUCCUUCAGUCGGGCCACGCCCUGCAGACUUGCGUGCUCGACACCCGGUGGCGCGACCUCUGGAGGCGCGAGACCACCCUCAACUUAAACUCCUACGAUUACGGGCUAAAGAGCGAGGCGUGGAAGCGCUUCAAAAGGAUCGUUAACCUCGUAAGGCCUUGUUUGGUACCAGGGUAUUUGCAGGGAUGGGAGAGUAUUAUCCCGGCCCAUUUCCCAAACCCCGCUAAUCCCCGAAAGCCCAUUUGGUAGAGGAGUUUUGGGCCAAAAAAUCCCCGCCUAUCCCCGAUUAACCCCGUCCCCGACCUAUUUUUUUCCUUGGGCCGAAUCCCGGACCUGGACCUCGCGUAUUAUCCCCGUCCCCGACUCCAAGUCUUCGUCUCCAAACCCUAUCGAACGACCGGCGGCGAGCGACCGGAGGCGAGCAGAGCCGCUGCGGGAGAGGCGGAGCAUCUUGCCGGCGAGAGGGGCGGAGCAUCUUAGCGGCGGGAGAGGAUGGAUCCCGCCUAGCCGCUCCCACAUCAGGUCGCCGCCGUUCUUGCAGUCUGACCGGCGCCGCCACUACUGCUGUUUCGAUCUCCGGUUGUCAUGGACUUGCGGAGUGUAGAACGUGUUAGGAAGAGGAAAAACAAAGAUGAAGAGUUUAUGUUUGUCAUUUUGCCUGCAUUGUACUUCCACUUGACAUGGUAAAAACAAAGACACCUUUCGUUUGUAUAUGGCAAGGAGCAUGUCAGAGAAUUGCUUUGUGGCAAAACCAAAAGCCUUUGUGGUCUUCAAAAGUGUCGAUAACCGCGAGAUAUUUCUCCGCUCCGUCUAGGAUAAUGAUGGCAGUGCACUAGCUUGGCUUAAUGGUGAGAUGGCCAUGUUACCAUGAGCUGACGAUACAUGGAUGUUUUUUGAAGAUCACAUGAACAAAAUGAACAGAGUUUCCAAGAGUUUCCAAAAUGAACAGAGUCUCCUAAUUUAUGCCGAACCGUUGCGCAUUACAUGACUGAAAAUUUGUGUUUUAAUUCCUGAUGCAUGUUGGAUGUUUACUAUACAGACUUGGGUUAAAUUGUUGCCAUAAAAAUUGAAUCUUUUGUAACUUACGCUGAAAUAUCUCCAUUGUUUCU